rnacentral:lncRNA from 1 species
UUAGAAGAGAUGGUCCUUCUUUGCCGCAAUUUUGGGUGUAUUUGGGUGAAUGGAAUUUAGGAUGAUUUUAGGUUUCUUUUAAUGUGACUUAUAGUGACAUGCAGCCGAGCAUUAUAUAAAAAAUUUAAAUAAAUAUUUAGGUGGUUUAAUUUUUUUUUUUAUUGUGAUUUAGUGUUAUAUACAGCCAAGUGCCCGAGCUCUCGGAUCAGGUAUUCCUAAAGAAGAUUAGAAUGUAAGUCUUUGGAGGCUGAACUCCCAUGCUAUAUUAUUAGGUCGAGCUUCUGGCGGCACAUCCCUAG